UACGUAGGGUGCGAGCGUUAAUCGGAAUUACUGGGCGUAAAGCGUGCGUAGGCGGUUCGCUGUGUCCGAUGUGAAAUCCCCGGGCUUAACCUGGGAAUGGCACUUGAAACUACGGGACUGGAGUAUGGCAGAGGGAGGUGGAAUUCCACGUGUAGCGGUGAAAUGCGUAGAGAUGUGGAGGAACACCGAUGGCGAAGGCAGCCUCCUGGGCCAAUACUGACGCUCAUGCACGAAAGCGUGGGGAGCGAACAGG
rnacentral:rRNA from 1 species